rnacentral:rRNA from 1 species
GCUAACUCUGUGCCAGCAGCCGCGGUAAGACAGAGGUGGCAAGCGUUGUUCGGAAUUACUGGGCGUAAAGAGUCUGUAGGUGGUUUGUCAAGUCUUUGGUGAAAGGCCGUAGCUUAACUAUGGGAAUGCCAAAGAGACUGGCAGGCUGGAGGCUGGGAGAGGGAAGCGGAAUUUCUGGUGUAGCGGUGAAAUGCGUAGAUAUCAGAAGGAAGGCCGGUGGCGAAGGCGGCUUCCUGGAACAGUCCUGACACUGAGAGACGAAAGCGUGGGGAGCAAACAGGAUUAGAUACCUGGUAGUCCACGCCCUAAACGAUGGGUACUAAGUGUGGAGGGGUUAAACCUCCGUGCCGCAGCAAACGCAGUAAGUACCCCGCCUGGGGAGUACGGCCGCAAGGUUAAAACUCAAAGGAAUUGACGGGGCCGCACAAGCGGUGGUGCAUGUGGUUUAAUUCGACGCAACGCGAGGAACCUUACCUAGGCUUGACAUGUGGU